CAACCCUCUUCCCUUCCCACCCAUCCCCAAAUUCCCUAGAAAACCAGCUAAGGCGAGUGGAAUAAGUGAAGAAGAUUUUUACAAGGGAUCUGCAAACAUUUUACUAACACCCAGUAAGCUGCACGACCCACCUCCAUGUGGACUUGCCAGAUGAGGUAGGUAAGUAUUAAUGCACAUCUCUUAACUAAAUGUAAAUGUAGAUGUAAAAA
rnacentral:lncRNA from 1 species